rnacentral:rRNA from 1 species
GACAGAGGGUGCAAACGUUGUUCGGAAUUACUGGGCGUAAAGCGCACGUAGGCGGUUUGUUAUGUCGGAUGUGAAAGCCCUUGGCUCAACUGAGGAAGUGCAUCCGAAACUGGCAAGCUAGAGUACUAAAGAGGGUCGCGGAAUUCCCGGUGUAGAGGUGAAAUUCGUAGAUAUCAGGAGGAACACCGGUGGCGAAGGCGGAUCUCUGGGCCAUUACUGACGCUGAGGAGCGAAAGCGUGGGGAGCGAACAGG